CGGCGGACGGGUGAGUAACGCGUGGGUAACCUGCCCUAUACAGGGGGAUAACAGUUAGAAAUGAUUGCUAAUACCGCAUAAGCGCACGGAGCCGCAUGGCGCUGAGUGAAAAACGAUAGUGGUAUAGGAGGGACCCGCGUCUGAUUAGGUAGUUGGUGAGGUAACGGCCCACCAAGCCGACGAUCAGUAGCCGACCUGAGAGGGUGACCGGCCACAUUGGGACUGAGACACGGCCCAAACUCCUACGGAAGGCAGCAG
rnacentral:rRNA from 1 species